CACAUCCUUCGGAGCCCAAAACGGAGACGCCGUGGACUAAUCACACCGCCACGAAAAGUGUCAUGUCUCUCGUGCCAAGACGACAUGCCUGUGGUACCCUCACAUGUGGUUAUAGCUCAGGUAUACCCUACAGUAUAUUCUAACAAAAAUAUCAUGUCACAACACAUGCGACAAAAUACCAACAAAAGGGUUCUAUAUGUACAUGUUGAACCAAAUCAAAUUAUAGUCACAAGGUCUCAAAAAGAA
rnacentral:lncRNA from 1 species